GUCGAGAAUAAUUCACAAUGGACGAAAGUCUGAUGGUGCAACGCCGCGUGGAGGAUGAAGGUCUUCGGAUUGUAAACUCCUGUCAUCGGGGAGUAAGACCUGGCGGUAAAUAGCCGACAGGGUUGAUAGUACCCGAAGAGGAAGGGACGGCUAACUUCGUGCCAGCAGCCGCGGUAAUACGAAGGUCCCAAGCGUUGUUCGGAAUCACUGGGAGUAAAGGGAGCGUAGGCGGCGUGGUAAGUCAGAUGUGAAAUCCCGGGGCUCAACCCCGGAACUGCAUCCGAUACUGCCAUGCUUGAGGGUUGGAGAGGUAGCUGGAAUUCUCGGUGUAGCAGUGAAAUGCGUGGAUAUCGAGAGGAACACUCGUGGCGAAGGCGAGCUACUGGACAACAUCUGACGCUGAGGCUCGAAGGCCAGGGGAGCAAAAGGGAUUAGAUACCCGAGUAGUCC
rnacentral:rRNA from 1 species